rnacentral:rRNA from 1 species
GAUGAACGCUAGCGGCGUGCUUAACACAUGCAAGUCGAACGGUGAAGCCAAGCUUGCUUGGUGGAUCAGUGGCGAACGGGUGAGUAACACGUGAGCAACCUGCCCUGGACUCUGGGAUAAGCGCUGGAAACGGCGUCUAAUACUGGAUAUGAGCCCCUAUCGCAUGGUGGGGGUUGGAAAGAUUUUUUGGUCUGGGAUGGGCUCGCGGCCUAUCAGCUUGUUGGUGAGGUAAUGGCUCACCAAGGCGUCGACGGGUAGCCGGCCUGAGAGGGUGACCGGCCACACUGGGACUGAGACACGGCCCAGACUCCUACGGGAGGCAGCAGUGGGGAAUAUUGCACAAUGGGCGGAAGCCUGAUGCAGCAACGCCGCGUGAGGGAUGACGGCCUUCGGGUUGUAAACCUCUUUUAGCAGGGAAGAAGCGAGAGUGAUGGUACCUGCAGAAAAAGCGCCGGCUAACUACGUGCCAGCAGCCGCGGUAAUACGUAGGGCGCAAGCGUUAUCCGGAACUAUUGGGCGUAAAGAGCUCGUAGGCGGUUUGUCGCGUCUGCUGUGAAUCCCGAGGCUCAACCUCGGGCCUGCAGUGGGUACGGGCAGACUAGAGUGCGGUAGGGGAGAUUGGAAUUCCUGGUGUAGCGGUGGAAUGCGCAGAUAUCAGGAGGAACACCGAUGGCGAAGGCAGAUCUCUGGGCCGUAACUGACGCUGAGGAGCGAAAGGGUGGGGAGCAAACAGGCUUAGAUACCCUGGUAGUCCACCCCGUAAACGUUGGGAACUAGUUGUGGGGACCAUUCCACGGUUUCCGUGACGCAGCUAACGCAUUAAGUUCCCCGCCUGGGGAGUACGGCCGCAAGGCUAAAACUCAAAGGAAUUGACGGGGACCCGCACAAGCGGCGGAGCAUGCGGAUUAAUUCGAUGCAACGCGAAGAACCUUACCAAGGCUUGACAUACACCAGAACACCGUAGAAAUACGGGACUCUUUGGACACUGGUGAACAGGUGGUGCAUGGUUGUCGUCAGCUCGUGUCGUGAGAUGUUGGGUUAAGUCCCGCAACGAGCGCAACCCUCGUUCUAUGUUGCCAGCACGUAAUGGUGGGAACUCAUGGGAUACUGCCGGGGUCAACUCGGAGGAAGGUGGGGAUGACGUCAAAUCAUCAUGCCCCUUAUGUCUUGGGCUUCACGCAUGCUACAAUGGCCGGUACAAAGGGCUGCAAUACCGUGAGGUGGAGCGAAUCCCAAAAAGCCGGUCCCAGUUCGGAUUGAGGUCUGCAACUCGACCUCAUGAAGUCGGAGUCGCUAGUAAUCGCAGAUCAGCAACGCUGCGGUGAAUACGUUCCCGGGUCU